AAACAUUUAUGGUUUACUUGAUCAUAAUUGUUACAUGGACAGCCGUGGUAUUUCUACUGCUAAUACAUGAGCAAAAUCUCAACUUUAUUAGAGGAGACGCAUUUAUUAGAUAAAAAGCCAGUUCAUGCUUUUCCUCUAUGAAAAUUGAUGAUUUAUAAUAACUUAACAAAUCGCAAAGUGAAAACAGGCGGUAAAUCAUUCAAGUUUCUGACCUAUCAGCUUUC
rnacentral:rRNA from 1 species